rnacentral:tRNA from 1 species
GGGGGUGUAGCUCAGAGGUAGAGCGCCUGCUUCGCAUGCAGGAAGCCCUGGGUUCGAAUCCCAGUACCUCCA